AUUUAUAGGUAUGGCUCCUCCGAUUCGGUACGAUUCGUAUUUGGCAGGUCCCUUCGUAGAGGUUUAGUGGCCAGGGCUGCAGCAUGGUGGAGGGAGUCGCUGAGGGUGUUUUGGAACAGUUUAAUGUUAGAUCCUACAGGCAAAAGUCUUCGAUUGUCAGGAAGUAAGUUUGGGUGCUGGUCCAUCGUGAUGUGUACAAAAACAGAAUAAACUCCAAAGUCAAUGGCUGAGGGAUUUUUUCGCCGGUCGUGUGGGAAAUGAGUAGGACCACCCGUCGCCAGGAUGUCCAGUUUCUUGUCAGCCUAGAUCACUUCAAGGAGAGUUCUGCCGCGUUUACAUGACCUUGAAUUACCCCACUUUUUAAGGUAAGGCGUUUGAUCCGCCUGGCCUCAGUCUUUCACCUACAAGGGUAUAUAGCAAAAAUUUAAAUUUAAAAGGCCGUUACAGCAGCAGUGGCGGGGGGAUUAAAAUUAUCUUAAAACUAGAUUAAUACUAAAUAAAAAAUAUACAAUAAGACAUUAGAUUAACAUUUAGUUUUUAGCGAUUUAGGUAAGAUAGUUUGUAGUAUGAUAGAUUUAAGAUUAUGUUACUUUUAGCAUAAGUAGUCAAGUAGGUAGCAAUUUUUUAAUAAUAAAC